rnacentral:lncRNA from 1 species
AAUUAAUUUUACCAUAUUUAAGGCUUGUUUAUUGUUUGCUGUGCUAGGAGCGAUGAUGGAACGCUAUGAAACUGGCGUAAGCAGAUGAUUUUUGUGCUUUUUCGGCAGUGUAACCGCGCACUUGUUUUG